UACGAAGGGGGCUAGCGUUGCUCGGAAUUACUGGGCGUAAAGGGCGCGUAGGCGGCACUGUUAGUCAGGCGUGAAAGUCCUGGGCUCAACCUGGGAACUGCGCUUGAUACGGCAGAGCUAGAGGAUGGAAGAGGCUCGCGGAAUUCCCAGUGUAGAGGUGAAAUUCGUAGAUAUUGGGAGGAACACCAGUGGCGAAGGCGGCUCACUGGUCCAUUACUGACGCUGAGGUGCGAAAGCGUGGGGAGCAAACAGG
rnacentral:rRNA from 1 species